rnacentral:lncRNA from 1 species
AGUACUGGAGUAAUUAAAGAAAACUUUUAGAAUGUUGUCAGAUCAGAAGUCAUCUUAACAAUGACGAGGGUCAAAAAAAAAUUCAAAACAUAUGCUCAUUCAAUGCAUAUAUUAAGUAGAAAAAGCAAUUCAACACAAACUUGCUUACUUGGAUGAAGCCAUGUAAAUAGGUAUUUCUGGCAAUUACAAACAAAUAUACACAAUCACUCACCAAGCGAGGAUGGCCAACUCCCAUAUAUGAUGCAUAUAAAAAAAUGGAUGAUGUAGAUGAUUACUGCAAAGUCCAAGCACUUUCUGGCCCUUUGGAUUUACAUAGAACAUGGAAACUGCCUGCUCAAACAAAUAAUAUGAAGAAAAUUAAAGGAUAUUUUCUGGAACAUAUUUACCUAAGCACAAUUAACAAUAGCACUCUUAAACUAGUAGACAAAAAUCAGUGAAUGUGAUUUAUUGGAUUCUAGUUCCUUACAUAAAGCACUUGGAUCUGCCAAUGAUGACAGCAUUCCACGAAAUUAUUACACGUAUAGAUAUGCAGGUUGAAGCAGUCAAAUCUUUAUCAUUGUAGCUCUAAGGAUAUUUGGUUCUUCUGCAGCUACAUCAACAUUCCUCAAGAAGAUAAAGGAAACUACAAUGUAACACAUGAUAAACUUAAUCACAAAAAACAUUUAAGUGAAUCUCAAACCUUCAACAAUUUCCAAAGAGUGUCCCUCAUGUACAUGUUUCCUUGUAAGAGUCUAUGAAUCCACAUAACUGGUUACUGAUAGAAUCAACAUGUAAAAUAUGAUAAGACUUGAAUUUAAAUUCUGAAUCACCAACUCUAUCUGAAACUUGUUAUCCUGAUAAGAAAAUCAGAACAGAUACUCUCUUUUGCUAGAUAUAAAGUUCCCUAAAUGGGAAAACCCUUUACAUAUUUUGCUUUUGGCAUUGAACUGAGAAGUGAUGAUGCACUUUGGCAAUCCGUUAGUCGCUAGUGAUAAAGCAGGGAUGUCAUCCAAUGGAAUAACUACUUCUGUUUGUCUCUGAGACAGCUGAAUAGCAAAGACCAGCCUGGCAAUGUGUGUAGCUGGACAACUCCACUGCCUAGAGUAACAAAGAUU